rnacentral:rRNA from 1 species
UACGUAGGGCGCAAGCGUUGUCCGGAAUUAUUGGGCGUAAAGAGCUCGUAGGCGGCGUGUCGCGUCGGUUGUGAAAGCCCGGGGCUUAACUCCGGGUCUGCAGUCGAUACGGGCAUGCUUGAGUUCGGUAGGGGAGAUCGGAAUUCCUGGUGUAGCGGUGGAAAUGACGCAGAUAUCAGGAGGAACACCGGUGGCGAAGGCGGAUCUCUGGGCCGAUACUGACGCUGAGGAGCGAAAGCGUGGGGAGCGAACAGG